AAAAAAAACUUUUAAGUUCAUUAGACCACAUUCAUUCUGUGUCAGAAACCUAUGCUGUGUCAACUAUUUAAUUUUAGAUUUAAAAAGUUUGAAGAAAUCUUUAAUUGAUUUGUAAAAUCUUGACAUUUGUUUUGUGUAAAAAAAACCCAUAUAAUAUCAAAAAUUUGAUCACAAUCCAAAUUCAGAGCUGUAUCACGCUUGAAUGUUUUGUCCAUACUUGCCCCAACUGUUCAGGGUUCGACCUCUGCGGUCGUAUAAAGCUGCGCCCUGCGGAGCACCUGGUUUUAUACUGAAUACAUUUUUAAAAGACCAUACUAUGACCUGUCAUUGUUUACAUCUGUGUCUUUUGGUUUUUGGUGGAUUGUUGUUUCAUUGGCAAAAAGUUACUAUAUGAAGACCAGGUUUUUCAAAGCUAUUUAAAAAAGAAAUAAGGCUUUUGAAAUCGUACUGUCAGAUUUAACCAAUGGUAGAGAAAUAUCAGCAUGUUAAAUGGUAAUGGUUUUACCAAGGAAAGGGACACUUAGGCACAAGAAACUGUACUGGUUUACCCAAGGGAAUUACCACCAGUUGCUGGUAAAAUAUUCUGAGGUCUUGGAAAUAAACAUAUAAAUGUGUUGUAGCAUUUUUGUUUUAAAAUAUUUAUGUUAAGAGCUUACUGCAACAACAAUCUUAAACAGGGGCGGAUCCAGCCAUUUUUAAAAAGAAUUUCCAACCCAAGGCAGGGGGGGAUGGGGUGUUCCAACCAAAUGUCCCAAUUCAAAUGCAUUAUUCAUCCCCAAAAAGGGGCCCUUGAACCCCAACCCCCUGAACCCCAACGCCCUGGAUCUACCACUGUAAAAGAUGUAAUUGAUUAAAUAAAUGAUGUUAUCAGGUAGUGUUUUGAAUUUUAAAAAAGGACCUUUUGGGUCUUAGACAUGACAAUAAGUCUACAAGGGUAACUGAAUUCAAUGGAGAUGAUAUUCAUUUUUAGACAUGACAAUAAGUCUACAAUGGUAACUGAAAUAAAUGGAGAUGAUAUUCAUUUUUAGACAUGACAAUAAGUCUACAAGGGUAACUGAAAUCAAUGGAGAUGAUAUUCAUUUUUAGACAUGACCAUAAGUCUACAAGGGUAACUGAAAUCAAUGGAGAUGAUAUUCAUUUUUAGAAUUUUCUUCUCUGUCUUCAUUUUAACACCUGAUGAUUAGCUUGGAUUUAAAAGAUGUCAGUCAGCAAGAUUUUUUUUUAAAUGAAAAAAUAAAAAAUAGAAAAUGAUAUUUCUGAUCUUUAAUGAUCAGAUCUUUCUACUUUUGGUUUAUGUCACAAUGGCAGUCGUGCCACAUCUUAUUUUUGUACAAAAUUGCAAAAGUAGACACAAUUUUAAAAGACAUCAAAGCAAAGAAAUAUAACAUAUUUGAUUGGAUUUACAAUUUUUAUGGCCCCGCCACUAAGUGGUCGGGGACAUAUAUAAGUUUUGUUCCGCUCCGCUAAUUUUUGCCAAAUUUACGGGCUUUGGACUUUGAUAAAUUGUUGAAAAUCACAGUUAUACAGACUUUUUUUCAGAUAUUGGGCUAAUAUUUGGUUUGUGAGUUACUCCGGAUGAGUUACAGAUCAAGUUUAAGUUUGGUUCUGAUGGCUAAUUUUUGCUAUAAUUUUGGACUAUGGACUUGAUAAAUUUUUGAAAAUCACAGUUAUAUGAACCUUUUUUCUAAAUUCUUUCAGAUAUUGGGCUGAUUUUUGGUAUGUGAGCUAACCAUGAUGACUUACAGAUCAAGUUCAGUUUUGUUCAGCUCCGCUAAUUUUUGCCAAAAUUAAGGGUUUACAACUUUGAAAAUUGUUGAAAAUGACAGAUAUAAGGACAUUUUUCUAUACGCCCCCAGAUUUUGAGCUAAUUUUUUAUAUGUGAGACUACCAAUAUGCAUACCCGUAGCCAGGGGGGUCGGGGGUUCGGACGAACCCCCCCUUGAAAUCAAAUAAGCACUGUUAAAGUCAACGUUUUGUUCAAAUUGUGACUGUUUAAGUCGAGUUCAUGAGUCCAACGAACCCCCCUUGGAAAUUCCUGGCUACGGGCCUGAAUAUGUUUGUGUCCACAUGUGUUAUUGAAAUUGCAGAUUUUUCAACUUUUGGAGACGGAGCCAUUCAUGUCGCUUUGACACAUCUAGUUUAAAUAUUUGUUUAAUUAAAGAUAGAAUAUUGUAAUAGUGCAAUAAAUUUGUGAAAUUUUCCAUUUGUAAUAGAUUUUGCAAUUUGUGAUGCUAUAUUGUAAGGAACAGUAAAUGGGCUAUGUCACAGAUUUUUUUGAAAAAUUGCAAACAACUUCAAAUGUUGAAAUCUAACUGAAAAUCAAAAAGUAAUUCAUUUAUCUAAACUGUUAUGCUGCUUGAAUCAUUUAUAAAAUGUACAUAAAAUCUAUCAAAAAUUUUGUCAAAAUAUCUUUAUUUUUAAUACAUUUUCCCUUUGAUAAUUUGAUAUCAAUAAAACAGAAAUUUAUAAAAUCAAAGUUUUGAUAUAUUAAAGUAAUUUUAAGAACAUGUUUCACAGAAUUUAUGUGUUUUCAAUUCAAAAAUAGAUUAAUUUCAAUAAUAUAUUUCAGAUAAAAAAGAGAUUAAUGCAUUACUUUUUCCAAUUUUUAGUGCAAUUUUCGCCUAUAAACGUAGCUGUGAGAAAAAUCUGUGAUAUGACCCCUCUACUGUAACAUGACUUUGAACAUUGUUUAUUACCUUUUAUUAGAAGUAGAUAAAUGUACAUUUUGUAGUGUAAAUGUGAAAUUUUAAAUGUUGUAUUCAAUUUUAUAUAAAUGUUUUAUGUAAUAUUUUCUUAUGAUAAUUCUAUGAAUUUUAUUGUCUUGUUUGCAGCAAAUGUCAAAGAAUGCUAGGCUUGGGAAUGCUAAUCAAACAGCAUAAACUAUUUGUAUAAAGCUUUAUAGUUAAAAAGGUAGAAGACCUUGGUACUUCAUAUCUUGUAUAUGAAAGAUUGGAGCAAGACUUGAUGGUUCAGAUAGUAAUUUAAUAAUGACUACAAAAUAUACAAUUGGUAUCACUGUAGCGACAUUACGUCAUAAGUAAAUGUCCCAGAGGUAUAUUUGAUGUGUAGAAUGGUUGUAUGGUGAACAUGGCUUUCUUGUUAGAGUUCAUCUGGCUUUAACCUCAUUUUCAUGGUUUAUUGGUUCGUUUUUUGUGGUUCAGUCCAUUUUCUCAUACUAUUAUUGAUAAGUCAACUAUAUUUGGUGUAUAGAAUAACAUGUCUGUCUGUCUGGGUGUAUCAGAGUGUUAACUUCGUUUUCAUGCAUCAUUGAUAAUGUUAAGUUUAUGUGAUAACUGAUGUAAAACUGUUAUCUCAAACAAUUUAAACCCAUUGAAAAACAUCAUGAUCUGUAAACCAGCAAGACAAUUCAGUGUGUGCAUAUUUGUUAAAUGUUAAUUUUCAAAACAAUGGCCAGUAUGUCAUUUAUUUUUAAAAGCAGUUAAAGAAAUAUGGAGUUCAGUUGUAAGAUAAUUGUCUCAAUCAAGUUAUACAACAUCUUUCUAUUUUGAUAUUGUUUAAGACAUUAAAAAUGGUAAUUCUAUGAACACCUUUCUGUUAUAUUUGUGUUCCUUACUGAUUAAAUUAUUUUUGAAGCAAUAUAAUUAAAUCAGUUUUUCUAAAACUAAAUAUUUUUUGUUAAGAAUAUUGAAAUCAUGUGCAAUACAUUAUUUGAAAAUAUUGCUAACAAUGUGCUACUGCAAGAUUGUGAAAGGAGAAAUUAUCACAAACAUCAUGUUAGUCAUGGAAAGUAGUCAAUUUAUAUGAAAUAAAAACACUAUUCAGAAAAGUCAAAAUUGAUUACAAAACUUGUGUUUUAUGUUACAGUUAUAAGCUUGUACAAUGUUGAAAUAUUUAAAUAUAUCAAUUUGAUAAAUUAAUUUUUCCGAUAAAAGUGCUGUAAUUCCAAUGCAGAAUGUGUAUGGAUUUUCUGUGCCAUUCUGUUUAAAUGCUUUGUUAACCUACAGGACACAUUUAACGAGACACAAUUGAUGCAAAGACUAAUUAUGAGGAAAAAAACCAUUAUAGAUUACAUAAAGAUGUAAUGAAAUAAAAACAUGAAGGAUUAUAUGUAUUAAGAAAAAAAUGAGCUAAUAGAAAAAUAAGAGUGAUAAUAUUUUCACAUAUGUGUUCAGAAAUAAUGACCUAAAACAUGAGUGAUAAUAUUUAUACACAUGAAAACAAAUAAUGACUAAAUGAGAUAAAAGCAUGAGUGAUUUAUAUGUAUACACAUGUAUUAAGAAAUAAUGAGAUAUAUAAAUGAGUGAUUAUAAGUAUACACACAUGUUGAGAUAUGUAUGCUUUAGACUGUAUUUUGUGGUUAAAAGUCAAAAACACCAAAUAUUCUGGAAAAAAAAGGCAAUCAAGUGUUUUACAAUUGCAAAUAUGUAAUCUUAAUUGUUGACACUUUAUAAAUUUGAUUAUAAUUGUCCAGAGUUAACCUUUGACAAAGUUCUUAUUUUCCGAUGUCAUCUGUUUUUCUGGCAUUGCUAAUUAUCUCAUGGCUCAAUUUGACAAUACAAACAGAUCCAGAUUAACCUUAAAGUAAACAGCAGUUCAUAAAAAAAUAUCUUAUAAAAAUUAAGAACUAUGAAAGUACAUGUGAAAAGGUUUUAUAAGUUUUAAAUGGUGUGUUUGUAUACUAGAUACAGAUUAGUUACUGUUGUUUUAUAAGUUUUAUGCCAAAUAUCUUACUGAAAUUUUAUUACUUCACAUUAGAGAACUUUUUAUUUUGAUACAUUUUGUGAUAGUCAUAACAUCUUCAUUUGUAAAUUUAUUUUUUACAUUAGUCAAUAUUAAAUAAUCCUAAAACUGUG
rnacentral:lncRNA from 1 species